GAUGAACGCUGGCGGCGUGCUUAACACAUGCCAGUCGAACGGAAAGGCCAGUGCUUGCACUGGUACUCGAGUGGCGAACGGGUGAGUAACACGUGGGUGAUCUGCCCUGUACUUCGGGAUAAGCUUGGGAAACUGGGUCUAAUACCGGAUAGGACAACUUUUUGGAUAUUGUUGUGGAAAGCUUUUGCGGUAUGGGAUGAGCUCGCGGCCUAUCAGCUUGUUGGUGGGGUAAUGGCCUACCAAGGCGUCGACGGGUAGCCGGCCUGAGAGGGUGUACGGCCACAUUGGGACUGAGAUACGGCCCAGACUCCUACGGGAGGCAGCAGUGGGGAAUAUUGCACAAUGGGCGCAAGCCUGAUGCAGCGACGCCGCGUGGGGGAUGAAGGCCUUCGGGUUGUAAACUCCUUUCGCUAGGGACGAAGCGCAAGUGACGGUACCUGGAGAAGAAGCACCGGCUAACUACGUG
rnacentral:rRNA from 1 species